CGUUUUGGGGGGGGCAGGAGGAGCUGGAGCACCUGAACGAGGCCAACGCCGAAAUCAAUCGCGUGGAGCUGCAGCUGGAUGUGAGUGAGCGCCACACAGCCCCACACUUGGGGGGCAGGGACCCCAAGACCCCGCACUUGGGGGGCAGGGACCCCGAGACCCCGCACAUGGGGGGCAGGGACCCCAAGACCCCACACUUGGGGGGGCAGGGACCCCGAGACCCCACACUUGGGGGGCAGGGUCCCCAAGACCCCACACUUGGGGGGCAGGGUCCCCAAGACCCCCACACAUGGGGGGCAGGGACCCCAAGACCCCACACAUGGGGGGCAGGGACCCCAAGACCCUACACUUAGGGGGCAGGGACCCCAAAGUUCCACCCUAGGGACCCCAAGACCCCGCACUUGGGGGGCAGGGACCCCGAGACCCCGCAGUUGGGGGGCAGGGACCCUGAGACCUCACACUUGGGGGGCAGGGACCCCGAGAUCCCGCACUUGGGGGGCAGGGACCCCAAGACCCCGCACUUGGGGGGCAGGGACCCCAAGACCCCACACUUGGGGGGCAGGGACCCCAAGACCCCUCACUUGGGGGGCAGGGACCCCAAAGUUCCACCAUAGGGACCCCAAGACCCCGCAGUUGGGGGGCAGGGACCCCGAGACCCCGCAGUUGGGGGGCAGGGACCCUGAGACCCCGCAGUUGGGGGGCAGGGACCCCAAAGUUCCACCCUAGGGACCCCGAGACCCCGCACUUGGGGGGCAGGGACCCCAAGAUCCUGCACUUUGGGGGCAGGGACCCCAAGCGCCCGCACUUGGGGGGCAGGGACCCCAAAGUUCCACCAUAGGGACCCCAAGACCCCACACUUGGGGGGCAGGGACGCCAAGACCCCACACUUGGGGGGCAGGGACCCCAAAACCCUUCAUGGUUGGGACUGGGAACCCCAAACCCUUUCCCAGUUCGUACUGGGAGCCCCAAAACCCUUCCUAGUUGGAAAUGGGGACCCCAAAACCCAUCCUAGUUGGAAAUGGGGACCCCAAAAUGCUUCAUUGUUGGGAACAGUGACCCCAAAACCCAUCCUAGUUGGGACUGGAGACCCUAAAACCCAUCCUAGUUGGAAAUGGGGACCCCAAAACCC
rnacentral:lncRNA from 1 species